UCCGCCAGAGAACUACGAGCACAAACGCUUAAAACUCUAAGGACUUGGCGGUGCUCCAAACCCACCUAAGAGAGCCUGUUCUAUAAUCGAUAACCCAGGAUACACCCGACCACUCCUUGCCAAGGCAGCCUACAUACCGCCGUCGCCAGUUCACCUCCCCUGAGAGAACAAUAGUGAACACAAUAGCCCCACCCGCUAACAAGACAGGUCAAGGUAUAGCCCAUGAAGUGGAAGAAAUGGGCUACAUUUUUUAUAAUAGAAAAUCACGGAAAGAAGUAUGAAACUACCUCUGGAAGGCGGAUUUAGCAGUAAAGAAGGACAAUAGAGCCACCUUUAAGCCGGCCCUGGAGCACGUACAUACCGCCCGUCACCCUCCUCAA
rnacentral:rRNA from 1 species